rnacentral:rRNA from 1 species
UACGGAGGGGGCUAGCGUUGUUCGGAAUUACUGGGCGUAAAGGGCGCGUAGGCGGCCGUUUGCGUCGGAUGUGAAAGCCCGGGGCUCAACCUCGGAACGGCAUUCGAUACGGGACGGCUGGAGACCGGGAGAGGAGAGUGGAAUAGCCAGUGUAGAGGUGAAAUUCGUAGAUAUUGGCUGGAACACCAGUGGCGCAGGCGGCGUCCUGGACCGGCACUGACGCUGAGGAGCGAAAGCGUGGGGAGCGAGCCGG